rnacentral:lncRNA from 1 species
CUCACCACCACAUGCGCCCCGGGCAGGGCGAGGGGCUUGGGGCUGAUGAGCGGAGACACCAUGUACAGCAGCAGCACGAAGGCCACGAGGAAGGCGGCAGCCAGCAGCAGCAUCGCUCCGCGGGGCCAGGGGCCCGGAGCGGCCGGGCGGGGGCCGCCGGGCAAGGCGCGCAGGGCUGGGCUGCGGCGAGGCGAGAAUCACGCGCGGCGGGCGGGCGCCUGGAGUGUUUGGGUUUGCGGGCCGGGGCGGGCCGCGGCGGAGGGGAAGAGGAGGAGCCGGCGCGCGCGCCACCCAGGCGGGGCGGUGCUUCCAGGGGGCGAGUAGGCCGCCACCGCCACCGCCACCGCCACCACUGCCAGAAUCGCCUCUCGGGGGUCGCCGGGUGUCUCCCACUCCCCCGGCCUCGGGACGGGGCCCGCAGUCCGCAGCCUCUCCCGUGGAAACCGGGCCUCCCGUCCCUGUGCGUCGCGAGCGGGCUCCGGACAGCGCCAGAUGCGAGCGCGCCGGGAAGGGCUGCGAAGACUCGCUCUUCGGGAGCUCGAAUGGCUUCUUAGGACCCCGCAGGGCGGGUUUCCAGGCCUGCCACGGCCUCCAGUGUGGGCGUGACGAGCGCUCCUCCCUGGAGUUCAGCCCUCGGCUUGGGACUGCCCGCUGGGUUGCUCGGAGGCCCCGGAGCAUCGGAAAGGGCGGCUGGAGGCUCCCGGAGCGGGCUCAGCCUGGGAGCCCAGCGACUACGCUCUGAAAUCCCGGGCUCCAUUCCAUAUUUUUUGGCGUUUUUAGAAGAUGGUCACGGCCCACUUUCGCUUUUCAGAGGACCGGAAAGCCUUAACAGGGAGUUUUGAGGAAUCACUAAGAGGCAUUGAAGCUUCCGGGAUUGGGAGUAAGCUGCCAUGGAAAGAAACUCAGGCUGGACUACUGCAUGAUGAGAGAUCACAUCAAAGAGAACAGUCCAGCCAGCCCAACUUGAGACACCAGACAUGUGAUGGAGCCAUCUUGGAUUCCUCACCCCAGCCAACACCAUGUGGAGCAGAGGCAAACCCUCUCCAUGGAGUUCUGCCUGAAUUGCAGACUUGUGAAUAAUAAUAAAUGGCCAUUUUAAGCCGU